UCGUUCGUAAAAAUACAUCGCAAAAUUUUUUUGUUCCUUAGAUAAAUUAGAUCAAAUACUUGCAAAAUUGUUUAUUCAAAUUGGUCGGGAAAAACGGUAAUAUUUUCGUCUGGAAAAUCUGUAAAAUUCCGGGAAUUUCGGGACGGAGGUUUUAGUGGCCAUCCUAAUUUCAACGCUCGCGUCUAUCUACGCGGAUGUAUCCGAUCCAACUAAGCACAGUAUACACACGCUGCACGUGCCUCUACGCCUCUGCUGUCCUGCCUUAGUACCACGCUACUACCGCUUGACCUUGACCCCAUGUUCUAUUUACACGACAGCUGGGACCCGCACGGAGAUACGACGGAGGCGAUGCAGACGACGAGGUCCAGCAGCGGAAUUACUCGACGCAGUCUCGUCGACAACAUUCGACAAGAAUCUUACCGGCAGGCCUCGCCUUGGCGAGGAAAGGCUUCGGGCAUUCGGUACGCACUUGAUCGCACAUCUCACAGGACGAAUUCCAUCAGGCUUACAUGGAAAAAGACAUGGCUCGAAGAUUUCGUAUUUGAAAUUGCAAACUGAAUCGGUGAUCAUCGAAAGUCCGUGGCAGCAAACUCUUUUCUACACUGUCGCAAUUGCUUGAAGUCGGGAACAGUGACUUCGAAGAGGGAGGCAGACUCUUGUAUAUCCAUCAUCUGCCGCUCCAGCAUCGAAAUCUCUUUGUCAGCUUCGUCGAGCUGCUUGUAAGGAUCCUCACAGCUGUACUUGAAGAAUCCGUAACGCCGGAACGCCUCGCGAUAGUGACAAAUUGUCGUAUCGAAGGCUGAUAUACGCCCUCUGAUCCUAGACACCUCUCCUAGAUACAUAUAGUCGGCACAUUGAAAUGGCAUCUAUCGGAAGUCUAGCCGAAAAAAACACGAUGGAAAGAAACAAGAAUCGAAGACCUUCGUCCGCGAGUCUGCGAAAUGUGGUUUAAGCCAGAUAGAAACAGAUGUGGAUACGAAGGUGAAGAAAUACCGGAACACUGACCUGAUAAAGGAGCCCAAGUCUGACAGGCUGCUGGUAACGCGUUCUACGAGAUGUUUUUUGAACAUACUCGACCACUUGCACACCGUAUUCAACAACGACUGUCUGAACGGCCUGAUAUCGACUCGGAACCAGCCGCAAAACACUUUGGACGGAUUCAUUUCCUCGAUUUCAAGAGCCUCGUCAACGUCGCUCUGAAAUAUCGACGAAGGAUCGAGGAAUCUUCGGGCCUCCUGAAUCAGCAGGUUGCAAAUUUGCCGUAGCAGGAUAAUCAGCUUCGAAGAGCUCUGGUAAUACUUCGACAAGCUCCAGGCGAGUCCCACCGUGUGUAUCAACGGGCCCAUCAACGGCUUGGCGUCGGCGAAGUCGGUUUCUUCGAUGCUUUUGAAGUUCUUCGUCAAGGGCGAAAGGUACAGCGACACUUCCCGCGCCUCCGCUAAGGCUGACACGACGUUUCCGAAAAGGAAUAACAGCAGAGCUCGCCAACCUCAGGUUUGCCAGUCUGGUUGACCAGUACUCCAAUUCAGUAUUCGGAGUCGGGUUUUGUCCGUUGUCAAAAGCACUGCUCGACUCGUGGGUCACGACGUCGUUGACCAGAUAACUAGAGAGUCGAGAUUGAAUCCUGACUGCUUUCGGAUCAACGGAUAAUUCACUCUCCCUCCCACAAUAACCUUCCAAAACUCUGUCUCAACCUGGUACAACGUUCCCCGCAAAGAAUGAACAUGCUUCGCCAGAUCCUGGACGGCAAUCUCUGGAAGCUCUUUGUGGUUGUCCGGGUUGCUCAACAGAGGAGCAAAUAUUUCAUCAACGAGUGUGGCCAGCUGGUCGACGACCCGAGAGGCGAGGUCGCCCAAUAUCAGGGUUUUGAUGCAUCCAGUCUUGUCCUUUGGUACAGAAAUGGGGGAACAAGUGUUAUCACCUUUGGUCCUUUGACACGGUAUUGGAAAGCCCGACGAGGCAACAAGCUGCGCAUUUGGUGUUAGGACGACAAACAGCGCCGGAGGCUUUGGAUUGUCCAGAAAAUCUAUAACUGUGUUACGGCUGAGAUCUUUCCACCGCGGUUCAGACGUGCGGACUUUAGAGUAUGUUGAAUAAUUCGCGGAGUCGUCGAGUUUGAGAAACGAGAAGCCGGCUGCCUACCCGGGGUUAUUUCUCACCGUUGAGGAGUUCGAGGCGGUGAGAGUAGAAGCGUAAAAGACGUUUGGCCCGCACAAAGAAGGGAAAAGCGGGCGCGGAGCCGAAGCGCCAAUCAUAAGUCACCAAUACGUCGGAAACGUCUGCACCGGUGGAUAUUACGUCGGUACUUAUGUAUACCAUACCUACAUACACAAUUCGCAGCAAGGAGUAGGAGGAGGAGGAGGAGGAUAAAAGAACCGGCGAAUUCGACCUCCUAUUUCGCGAAUUGCUGAUGAGGGGCGACGCCCUAUCCUAACAAGGAAUAAUAAAUUGAUUACAGCCCAUAUGACGCGGGGUGCUCUCACAAAUUGGCACUGUAUAUAUAUAUAUAUAUAUAUAGAACGUUGGAUGCCCCCUACUUUAAAAUUUAAGAUAUCUACGAAUCAUGGCAUGGAGGGAGUGAUACUUCUAAUGCAGGAUAAUUGUAGGUUUAAAGUUCAAACUCUCUAUCCUGUAAUCCACGGAAUAAUUUAUCUAUCGUAUACUUGCCCUGUAUCUGUAAUCGUUCUUUUUUGAUUCACCGGUUUCACGUUGCAAGCAUCAACUCCGUCUAUGGAAUGCAAUUAGCUUAAUUUAUUAGGGGCAGUUUUUACCCUCGACGUUGCGCAGAUCGUGCUCGCGUAUAAUAUUAUACUGCAGGAAAAGAGUAAGUGGAUAAAAAAAAAAAAAAAAAAUUCAAGCUCUUGUCGAUAAUAGAAGAAAAUUUAUUAAAGAAGAGUAGACGGGGUAAUGAAGAAUUUAUUUUAAUUACAAGUUACUUACAAAGCCAAUAACAAUGUACGAGGUAGUCGAUAAAUGAAUAAAUGAAACCAAGCUUCUUUGUUGGGUGAAAACCCGGAGAAGUACUGCUUAGGUUGUGCCGACAGACUAGGAAUUAGGAUUGAAAAUCUCUCCCCUCCCCCCGAAUCAAUCCUCCCGACUACUGCGAGGGCUCGUUGAAAAGUUGACGUUUUCGGAAUAGUAAGUCCGAAAGUUCAGCCUCAUCUCUCCUCUGCGCUGGAACUUUUGAUUUCUAUAAUUUUGGGACAGGGGUGAAGUACGUGCGCGAAAUGAAUAAGAUAAACAGAAAUCUCCGUGCCCGUUCCGCGUACCGUUCGCCUCCUCGUUUUCGCCUGCAGGAAUCGGUAUAAAUACGGCAAAGAAAUAUUUCAACGCUAUUCGUUUCAUAUUAACCCAGUAGCCCGGUUGAUAAGUCAUUCCGGAAUGUCUCCCGCGAUGGGGUUGCAACGGAACGAGGGUGGUUCGGAGUCGAGGGACUGCGACGAGGGCUGAAAGUCGAGGGGUUAAAAAUCAAGGGUCUCCUCUUUGGCUACGUUCCCGGAAUACGUUAUGAACGCCGUGGAGGGAAGGAAAUAGUGCGGUAUAUCAUUUCAUUUCGUAUAAUUCAGCAGUAUAACUAUCUCCGCGAGUACGUUAACUAUUUAUUUAUCAUUUCUACGUAAGACACGUUAAUAUCGUCGGCAGAACAAAACGAGCCUCGUGUAUAAUCCCUUGAAAAGGGAUGAAAUUAUCGUGUCGUAGAAUUUUGAAACUGAUACAAAUUAAUAUCGAUUGACCAUACGGCCCAAAAUAACGCCGAAUCUUAACAUAGGAAAAAAGGUGCUUGUUCGACCCGAGGAUCGUCUUUCUAUCCGUCAAUCCUCCGUAUCGUGAUCUCCCUUUCUCGGCCCCCACCCUCCUCCUCCUUCUUCCCUCAGAACCUGAAGAAUUGGGCAGCAUUAAAGCUACUUUUCUAAGAACGGCGGUACGUCCAACCGACCUCGACGUGCCAACCAUACCGAUAACUUCGAUUCAAUCGGAUAUCGAUGGGGUUCAUUCGCGAUACAAUAGGAUAGUUAUCUGAUCCCUGCACCGUUCCAUCGUUCUCAGGCUAUUUCAAUUAACGAGAUGAUCGAGCACACCGUUGCCCGUCAGAUACCACUUUGACAUCGUUUAUCUGCAGCGAUGAGUGCAGGGUACGUUCUGGAUUAUGUCAGAACUCAACGUGGAUCCGGUGGAAAUUAUUUCGCAGUUGAUGCCGUUUUGAUUUCUUGGUCAAUGGGCAGCAUGAAAGAACGAAUGGUCCAAAUUUUAACCACGAAUCCAAUACAUUUUCAACCUAAGAAUUUUGCUUCUCAACAUGGAUUUGUAUGAUUCUUUUGAGACUAAUUGGACCCUCAUAAAUGUGAAACAAGAUCUGGAACAACGGACGACCAACAGUUAAGGAAUUACAAGGAUGAAACUAUGUAAAUUGACUUUGUAAUUAUUU
rnacentral:lncRNA from 1 species